AUUGAACGCUGGCGGCAUGCCUUACACAUGCAAGUCGAACGGUAACAGGUUAAGCUGACGAGUGGCGAACGGGUGAGUAAUACAUCGGAACGUGCCCAGACGUGGGGGGUAGCUCGGCGAAAGCCGGAUUAAUACCGCAUAAGCUCUGAGGAGGAAAGCGGGGGACCGUAAGGCCUCGCGCGUUUGGAGCGGCCGAUGGC
rnacentral:rRNA from 1 species